rnacentral:lncRNA from 1 species
GACCGGAUAAACGGACGAGUUGGGUAACCGGCGGACGGGUUAUUAUACCCGUAGAUUACUUGAGCAUGGAUAAAAUUUACCUACAAAUUUUUGAAAAGCUAAUAUCUUUACUCAUACCCGUCCGCGGGUAGGCGGGUGGGUAUGUGGAUUAUCUGUAAUUUUUAAUUUUUUGCUGUUAUAUUUUUUAAAUAUAAAACAUAUAUAUAUAUAAGUUUUAAAAGCAUAAUAUAACUCAUUGCUUAAAAUAUUAUAAUAAAACAUAUAUAUAUAUAAGUUUUAAAAGCAUAAUAUAACUCAUUGCUUAAAAUAUUAUAACAUACAAUAAAAAUAUUUAAAGCUUAAAGCAAAAAUAUUUCAUAACGCAAUGAAAAAUUAGAAUUAGAUUUUUUAGGAUAAGUAAAUAAAAAAUAUAUAUUAAUUGAGAAAAUAUAUUCUGUAACUAAAAAAUAUAUGUACGGGUAUCCGUGAGUACGUGCGGGUUAUUCAAAAUGCCCACUGCUUAAUGGGUGCAAAUCUGUAAAUUUUUGGAUUGAAAAAAUUAGUAUCCAUACCCGUAAAUUUAUGAAUAACCUGCGAAUAACCGCAGGUCUGAAUCAAGAUUACC